rnacentral:lncRNA from 1 species
CAUAAUAGAAAGCUAUUACUCCUUUUUCGAUAGAAUGAGAAAAAGGACUCGUUGCAAAGUUAUACUGUUGUGGCGCAACUGAGUAGUCUAAUGUUGUUCCGGUUUUGGUUGUUGUGAACGUUGACAUCGAUUCGUUCCAAAUUUACACUCUCGGGGCAUAAUAGAACAAUUUAAUUAGGUUUUACUCUUUGUUAGAUUGAACGAGAAAAAAUACUAGAUUCAAAAUUAUACUGUUAGGGCACAACUGAGUAGUCUAAUGUUGUUCUGGUUUUGGUUCUUGUGAACGUUGACGUCGAUUCGUUCCAAAUUUACACUCUCGGGGCAUAAUAGAAAGCUUUUACUUCUUGUUCAAUAGAAUGAGAAAAAGUACUCGUUGCAAAGUUAUACUAUUUUGGCGCAACUGAGUAGUAUAAUGUCGUUCCGGUUUUGGUUUUUGUGAAUGUUGACAUUGAUCGUUCCAAAUUUACACUCUCGGCGCAUAAUAGAACAAUAUAAUUAGGUUUGGGGCUUUGUUCGAUUGAAUGAGAAAA